rnacentral:lncRNA from 1 species
UCAACCCAGAGGAGCAGGAUCCACGAGGAGUUAGAAAACACCAGGAAAAGGGUUGUUUCCACCUGGAAGAGAAAUGCUAGAGCAACACGCCAUCUUCCUCAACAUUAUCAUCUGUCUCUGGAUGACAAUGAAAUUCACAGGACACCGAUUGUCUUUUUAUCCCAUUGGACAUCGUGAUAGUCUACAAUACUGAUAACACCACGAUGAUAGGAUCUGAAGACCUGGAAGUACCAGGUACCUGAAGUACCAGAUCAGCAGGAAGAAGAGAUGGAAGCAACGCCAUGGACCUUCACGUCCUUCAGAGUGUGGGUGGGCUUUGGCUUUGCAGUGAGAGCAAGUAUCACCCAGGAUGGAGAUGGGAGGUAAUGGGUGGCCCCGACAGGUGCCUCCUACUGCUGGCAGCAAGGAGAGAGUGAAGAGGCAGAAUUUCCUUGGUCUAGACUAGUGUCUGGGUCAUGGGCAUGGCAGUGCUUGAGCUUUUGACCAGAAGCAAGUGGACAUGGAUUUGAGCUUCGGGUAAGAAGGGAGACUUCUCUCCAGGGACCAUAGGGGCUGGCAGCUGAAGAAGGUGACUUGGCCCCUCUCUAGAGGGUGAACGCAGGAUCAAUUCAAGGCCAUGAAGUGGAUGCAGCUGGGAGAGCCUGCUUGGUGCUUUUAAACCUCAACAUGUCCACCGCAAAUACCUCAAACACUGCUCACACCGUGGUAAAAUCUAGUUGCGAAAUCUGUCCUGCGGCAGCCUUCUCCAUCCCAGGCGCCCAGGCCCCAUCUCCUGGGAGCAGGCAGCUCUCCCGACCCCGCUUCAUGCCCCUCCUACAGCCCAAGGCAACUCCCUGCAACCUUGGUGAAUGAAGCACAUCCUGCUGCCCAGGCUCCUGAGCUGUUU